rnacentral:lncRNA from 10 species
CAAAAACUAACCUGAAGCCCCUGAAAGAAGGAUCCUUGGAAACACAGAUCUUGCCCCUGCAAAGCCACUUUAGCUGGACAUGGAUGCAAAGAGAGCCCCAGACAUUCUGCGCGCAUGGCACAUCUUGGACAUUAUUCCAAAUAGAGUCAUCCUUUUUUAACCGCUGCAAAGAAUCCCAUCAUAUGGAUGAUCUGUAACAGGGGUCCCCAACCCCUGGGCGAGGACUAGCACCGGUCUGUGGCCUGUUAGGAAUGGGGCCACACAGCAGGAGG